GAUGAACGCUGACGGCGUGCCUAAUACAUGCAAGUCGAGCGAACGGACGAGAAGCUUGCUUCUCUGAUGUUAGCGGCGGACGGGUGAGUAACACGUGGAUAACCUACCUAUCAGACUGGGAUAAUUUCGGGAAACCGGAGCUAAUACCGGAUAAUAUUUUGAACCGCAUGGUUCAAUAGUGAAAGACGGUCUUGCUGUCACUUAUAGAUGGAUCCGCGCUGCAUUAGCUAGUUGGUAAGGUAACGGCUUACCAAGGCAACGAUGCAUAGCCGACCGGAGAGGGUGAUCGGCCACACUGGAACGGAGACACGGACCAGACUCCUGCGGGAGGCAGCAGUAGGGAAUCGUCCGCAAUGGUCGAAAGCCUUACGGAGCAACGCCGCGUGAGUGAUGAAGGUCUUCGGAUCGGAAAACUCUGUUAUUAGGGAAGAACAUAUGUGUAAUUAACUGUGCAGAGCUUGACGGUACCGAAUCAGAAAGCCACGGCUAACUACGUG
rnacentral:rRNA from 1 species